AAAAAUAAAAAAUAAAAAAUGGCCAUGCUAAAAUUUUGUAAAGUUUGAGCUUCAAUAGAAAAAAUACAUAAAAGCAUAAUAUCUGAGUUUUCUGUUAGUGUUAUUUGUGUCAUGGAAGCAAAAAUUAAUUACAUGGAUGUAGCGGUUGUUGAAGAUGCAAACAAGGUGAACUGCGGUCUCUAUGUUAUUUAUGGAAGGAAUAUUAGUGUGUUUAAGCUGUGAAAAAUACUGCUAUGUGUGUACAGAGCUCCUUGAACACCAUGGAAAUUUGGCAAAAGAAUCAUCAUGGAGAUUGGAGCAUAGAUUUAUGGGAAAAAGGUGCUAGAAUGAUAAAGAACCAUUGGUUAUACCCUUACUCUUUUUAAUUUAUUCUUUUUUUUAAUGUGUAUUAUAUUAUUGAAUUAUUCAAUUUUUGUUUUCAUUGUAGUGUACGAAUCAUUUCACUUAUAUAUUGUGAAAA